AACGAACGCUGGCGGCAUGCCUAACACAUGCAAGUCGAACGAUGCCUUCGGGCAUAGUGGCGCACGGGUGCGUAACGCGUGGGAAUCUGCCUUUCGGUUCGGAAUAACUCAGGGAAACUUGAGCUAAUACCGGAUAACGUCGCAAGACCAAAGAUUUAUCACCGAAAGAUGGGCCCGCGUAGGAUUAGCUAGUUGGUGAGGUAAAGGCUCACCAAGGCGACGAUCCUUAGCUGGUCUGAGAGGAUGAUCAGCCACACUGGGACUGAGACACGGCCCAGACUGCUACGGAAGGCAGCAGUGGGGAAUAUUGGACGAUGGGCGAAAGCCUGAUGCAGCAAUGCCGCGUGAGUGAUGAAGGCCGUAGGGUUGUAAAGCUCUUUUACCCGGGAAGAUAAUGACGGUACCGGGAGAAUAAGCCCCGGCUAACUCCGUG
rnacentral:rRNA from 1 species